rnacentral:misc_RNA from 1 species
GAUGAAGAACGUAGCGAAAUGCGAUAAGUAAUGUGAAUUGCAGAAUUCAGUGAAUCAUCGAAUCUUUGAACGCACAUUGCGCCCGCUAGUAUUCUGGCGGGCAUGCCUGUCCGAGCGUCAUUUCAACCCUCAAGCCCCCGGGCUUGGUGUUGGGGAUCGGCGAGCCUCCGCGCCCGCCGUCCCCUAAAUCUAGUGGCGGUCUCGCUGUAGCUUCCUCUGCGUAGUAGCACACCUCGCACUGGGAAACAGCGCGGCCACGCCGUUAAACCCCCAACUUCUGAACGUUUGACCUCGGAUCAGGUAGGAAUACCCGCUGAACUAAAGCAUAUCAAUAAGCGGAGGA